rnacentral:rRNA from 1 species
GACGAACCGUGCGAACGUUGUUCGGAAUCACUGGGCUUAAAGGGCGCGUAGGCGGAUGACCAAGUCAGGGGUGAAAGCCCGCAGCUCAACUGCGGAAGUGCCUUUGAUACUGGUUGUCUCGAGGGAGAUAGGGGCAUGUGGAACUUCCGGUGGAGCGGUGAAAUGCGUAGAUAUCGGAAGGAACGCCGGUGGCGAAAGCGACGUGCUGGAUCUCUUCUGACGCUGAGGCGCGAAAGCUAGGGGAGCAAACAGG